AACGAACGCUGGCGGCAUGCCUAACACAUGCAAGUCGAACGAGACCUUCGGGUCUAGUGGCGCACGGGUGCGUAACGCGUUGGAACCUGCCCUUAGGUUCGGAAUAACUCCCCGAAAGGGGUGCUAAUACCGGAUAAUGUCUUCGGACCAAAGAUUUAUCGCCUUUGGAUGGGCCCGCGUUGGAUUAGCUAGUUGGUAGGGUAAAAGCCUACCAAGGCGACGAUCCAUAGCUGGUCUGAGAGGAUGAUCAGCCACACUGGGACUGAGACACGGCCCAGACUCCUACGGGAGGCAGCAGUGGGGAAUAUUGGACAAUGGGCGAAAGCCUGAUCCAGCAAUGCCGCGUGAGUGAUGAAGGCCGUAGGGUUGUAAAGCUCUUUUACCCGGGAUGAUAAUGACAGUACCGGGAGAAUAAGCUCCGGCUAACUCCGUG
rnacentral:rRNA from 1 species